AACGAACGCUGGCGGCAUGCCUAGCACAUGCAAGUCGAACGAGACCUUCGGGUCUAGUGGCGCACGGGUGCGUAACGCGUGGGAACCUGCCCUUAGGUUCGGAAUAACUCCCCGAAAGGGGUGCUAAUACCGGAUAAUGUCUUCGGACCAAAGAUUUAUCGCCUUUGGAUGGGCCCGCGUUGGAUUAGCUAGUUGGUAGGGUAAAAGCCUACCACGGCGACGAUGCAUAGCUGGUCUGAGAGGAUGAUCAGCCACACUGGGACUGAGACACGGCCCAGACUCCUACGGGAGGCAGCAGUGGGGAAUAGUGGACAAUGGGCGAAAGCCUGAUCCAGCAAUGCCGGGUGAGUGAUGAAGGCCUUAGGGUUGUAAAGCUCUUUUAACCGGGAUGAUAAUGACAGUACCGGGAGAAUAAGCCCCGGCUAACUCCGUG
rnacentral:rRNA from 1 species